AACGAACGCUGGCGGCAUGCCUAACACAUGCAAGUCGAACGAGACCUUCGGGUCUAGUGGCGCACGGGUGCGUAACGCGUGGGAACCUGCCCUUAGGUUCGGAAUAACUCCCCGAAAGGGGUGCUAAUACCGGAUAAUGUCUUCGGACCAAAGAUUUAUCGCCUUUGGAUGGGCCCGCGUUGGAUUAGCUUGUUGGUAGGGUAAAAGCCUACCAAGGCGACGAUCCAUAGCUGGUCUGAGAGGAUGAUCAGCCACACUGGGACUGAGACACGGCCCAGACUCCUACGGGAGGCAGCAGUGGGGAAUAUUGGACAAUGGGCGAAAGGCUGAACCAGCAAUGCCGCGUGAGUGAUGAAGGCCUUAGGGUAGUAAAGCUCUUUUACCCGGGAUGAUAAUGACAGUACCGGGAGAAUAAGCUCCGGCUAACUCCGUG
rnacentral:rRNA from 1 species